ACUCAAAUGAAUUGACGGGGGCCCGCACAAGCAGCGGAGCGUGUGGUUUAAUUCGACGCAACACGCAGAACCUUACCCAGGCUUGACAUGCACCUGCAAACGGGGGAAACCCCGUUGCCUUCGAGGGUGGUGCACCGGUGCUGCAUGGCUGUCGUCAGCUCGUGUCGUGAGAUGUUGGGUUAAGUCCCGCAACGAGCGCAACCCUUGCCCCGUGUUACUCGUGUCACGGGGGACUGCCGCUGGGUUCCAGCGGAGGAAGGCGGGGAUGACGUCAAGUCCGCAUGGCCCCUACGCCUGGGGCGACACACACGCUACAAUGGCCGGCGGAGUGCGCGGCGACCUCGCAAGGGGAAGCUAAUCGCGAAGGUCGGUCUCAGUGCAGAUUGGGGGCUGCAACUCGCCCCCAUGAAGGCGGAGUUGCUAGUAACCGCGUGUCAGCAGAGCGCGGUGAAUACGUACCCGGGCCUUGCACACACCGCCCGU
rnacentral:rRNA from 1 species